rnacentral:SRP_RNA from 1 species
GCCGGGUGUGGUGGCGCGCGCCUGUAAUCCUAGCUACUCAGGAGGCUGAGGCAGGAGAAUUGCUGGAAUCCGGGAGGCGGAGGUGCAGUGAGCCGAGAUCGCGCCACUGCACUGCAGCCUGGGGGACAGGGCGAGAAUCUGACUCUU